GUGACCAGGCCGAAUGUAUUCUACAUGAGAUUUUAUAAAGAGAGAAAGAGGGCGAAAAUUAUAUUAAUAUAACUCGUAAAAUGGUUCUUUUAGACAAUGAUGGUUUUCUAACUCAGCUGACGUAUUUGCUUCAAAAAUCAAGAAGUUCAGGUUCAGUAAAUAUCACAUUAAAGAAAUAUAAUGGACAAACAAAGCCAAAACCCAGAGGAUCAAAGAAAACUAGCAAGCUUACNUCUGUGGAGCAAGAAGGGGAAAGUAGAUGUCUUUUUAGAGCAGCUAGAGGAAAUAAGAAGAUCAGUACAGUGGUUUUUUCCAAAGAUAUAAACAGAUUUCAUCUAGCAUAUGCAAAUGUACUUAAAGCUAACAUGGAUAAUUUAAAGAAAAGAGAUAAGAAAGCAGAAAAGAGUAAAGCUAAGUCAAAAAAAUCCAAGGCAACUCAAUAGGAAAUUUGUACAGGAAAAUUAAUUAUAUCAUACAANGUAAAAUGAGCAGAUGCUAUUUUGGGUGAAAUAAAACAUUAUGCAGGGGCAUGCGUAGGGGAUUCCAGUUGUUCUGGUAUUCCCCCUUCCUUUGUAGACAAAGUCUAGAAAUAUAAGACUUAAUAUGUCAAAUAUAUAGGUUACAAUAUUUUCAGAUAGUACAAUAGUCUGUGAAUCUAAAGCAAUUUUGNAGUCAAUCACCACAGUUUUGAAGCUGCAAGAAACACCCUAUGCAUGCCCCUGUUUCCAGUACCUGACUUACAUAUGUGUAUUGUGGAAGGCAAGAUAAAAGUAUGCAGUCAUAUCAGCAAUCNUACUUUAAUUUUUGCUAUAGGACAGAUUUCAUAGGAGUGUAGAGGUUACAGUAAUAUACCACGAAGCAUUGAUGUAGCUAUUCCAAUGUCUAUCUCUUAUUAGCAAAGUACUGACAACAUACUUGUCAAGGUAGUGUAUUGUUAGAUGUUCAGGAUAUUUCUUGGCAAGCUUGAGCCAUUCGGUACUCAAUGAAUGCUUCCAUGAAUACACUUCAACACUCCAUCCUUUCUCCAAAGCCAUUGUUG
rnacentral:misc_RNA from 1 species